GACGAACGCUGGCGGCGUGCUUAACACAUGCAAGUCGAACGGAAAGGCCCUGCUUGCAGGGUACUCGAGUGGCGAACGGGCGAGUAACACGUGGGUGAUCUGCCCUGCACUUCGGGAUAAGCCUGGGAAACUGGGUCUAAUACCGGAUAGGAGCCAUUUUUAGUGUGAUGGUUGGAAAGUUUUUUCGGUGUAGGAUGAGCUCGCGGCCUAUCAGCUUGUUGGUGGGGUAAUGGCCUACCAAGGCGGCGACGGGUAGCCGGCCUGAGAGGGUGGACGGCCACUUUGGGCCUGGGAUACGGCCCAGACCCCUCCGGGGGGCCGCAGUGGGGAAUUUUGCAAAAUGGGCUCAACCCUGUUGCAGCGCCCCCGCGUGGGGGAUGACGGCCUUCGGGUUGUAAACUCUUUUCGCUAGGGACGAAGCUUUUUGUGCCGGUACCUAGAUAAGAAGCCCCGGCUAACUCCGU
rnacentral:rRNA from 1 species